AUGGUGUUCUGUGAGGCUCGUAGGAUGAAAGUUGCCGUCGCUGGCAGUAGGCUACUCUGGAGGACAGGAGCGUUUUCUUGUGCUUAUUUCACGCUGGGCAUCGCUGACGCGCCCUCCCUCCUCCACUCUGACCCCUCGGGCCUCUUGCCCAUAGCACAAACAAGGCCAAGAUCACAGCUGGCUGUCAGUAUGACAGCCUGACCACUGUUUUCCCCUGAUUAAAUUUAGUUUGUGUUUUUUUGAUUGUAUGCUCCCUAGUGGUGACCUGCUCUGUCCUUAGCCCAUUAUUGUGCCUUCCAACGCCAAGUAGCGGCGCUAGGUUGGUUUAUGGUCAGGUUGAGUUAGUUGGUUGUUCAUCCCCAGUUUGUUUGUUUUCUGCUUUUCCCUUCUCCUACCCUGUCGGCACUGGCCUAGUCGGCCAGUGUUUUUGAGCAGCCCUCUUAACCAUCCGCUCGAGGGCUGCCUCAGUUAAUGUUCCCCUCCUGAUUUUUCUCCCUUUUACUGGUUUGAGUUUUAUUAUUUUUAUUUGUCUCCUCUUGUCUCCUUGCCCCUCCUAGCUGUGACCAAUUGUAAUUUUGCUAGAUAGCCAAUGCCUG